rnacentral:rRNA from 1 species
GAUGAACGCUGGCGGCGUGCCUAAUACAUGCAAGUCGAGCGGAAGGACGAGACGCUUGCUUCUCUGAUGCUAGCGGCGGACGGGAGAGUAACACGUGGAAACCCUCCCUAUCAUACUGGGAUAACUUCGGGAAACCGUCGCUAAUACCGGAUAAUAUUUUGAACCGCAUGGUUCGAAAGUGAAAGACGGUCUUGCUGUCUCUUCUAGCUGCAUCCGCGCUUCAUUAGCUAGUUGGUAAGGUAACAGCUUACCAAGGGAACGAUGCAUAGCCGAGCUGUGAGGGUGAACGGGCACAGUGGAACUGAGACGCGGUCCAGAGUCCGACGGGAGGCAGCAGUAGGGAAUCUUGCGAGAAGGGCGAAAGCCUGACGGAGCGACGCCGCGUGAGUGAAGAAGGGCUGCGGAUGGGAAAACGCUGUUAGGAGGGAAGAACAUAUGUGUAAGUAACGGUGCGCAUGUGGACGGAACCGAAACAGAAAGCCACGGCUAAUUCCGG